ensembl:lncRNA
GUGUGUAAAUUGCCAUGGUGUUCUCUCAAAAAGGUUCAAAUUAAGUGAAUAUCUGACAUCUCCGUGGCCUUCAAAAGCAUUGUAUGCAAAAUAAGUGCAGAACUUCAGUUCUAAAUACUGCCAGGAGCCUCCUGGUAAAUGAGGAGAGGCAAAGCCUGGCCUUACCUGUGGCCAGGCCCUUGGCCCACACCUGGGAGACACUUCCAAGAUUGGACUGUUUUCCUGGAGUAUCUCUCCCCUUCUCUGCUCUUCUCUGUCUUUUCUUCUGCAUUUUUCGGGGAGGGAAGAUGGUUCUUCACUUCUUUUAAAUCUUUUGGGGUUUUUUGGUGAGGAAGAUUGGCCCUGAGCUAACGUCUGUGCUAAUCUUCCUGUAUUUUUUUUUUAUGUGGGACACCACCACAGCAUGGCUUGACAAGUGGUGCUAGGUCCUCAUCUGGGAUCGAAACCUACAAACCCUGGGUCUCUGAAGUGGAGUGCACAAACUAAACCACUAUGCCACUGGGCCAGCCCCUUUUUUAUUUUAAAUGUUGUCAUAAAAUUGAUGCUCCUGGAAGGUGUACCAUGAAUAUUCUCCUGUUUUUUAUCCUACCUGCACAGAAUUCUGGCUGUUCCUACUCCAGUUUGAGAGUAUCGUAACUGUAACCAGACUGUGAACCAGACUAUCAGGAGUCAGAAAAGUUGCAUGGAUGUGGUCCCCCAAAGAAGCUUAGGGGAUCAUUUUGCUGUGCAGACAAGUCUCCUGACUGUAAAAUGCAGGAGUUGGUCCAAUCUACUGUGAUGUUUUUCUUUUGGUAAUAGUGGCAUGGAGCAGUCACUCCAAGAGGUGUGACUAAGGAAUAAACCAUUCAGCCAGCCUGAGGUUGCAAAGGGUGCUCCAUGGUGAGCCAGAUGCCUCACAGUGCCCACAGAGUGAAUUUAUGACAAGAGACAGCACCCAGAGCUGGAGACCAGACAAUGGGGCUGGAGGAGACCUCAAGAACAAGAGUGGGAGCAAACAGACCAGAUAGGAGAAAUCUCAAGUGUAAGUUUACUGAGUUCUGAUAAUUGCAUACCUCUGGGUAAUCCAAACUCCUCUCCAAACAUUGACCAUGACCAUCAGGUUGAAAACCAUGAACACUUCAUACUUUCAUGAUGGGGGUGAAGGGGUUUAAAGAGAUGACUUCUAAGAUCCUUCCAGGCUCUGCUGAGCCCUCUACCAGAUUGACUUGCCCAUGUUACUUCUAGGUCCCACGCUCUGUCCCUCCCGAAUGGUACACAGCUCUCGCUGGGUUCCAGAGAAAAUUGGGCAGCUCGACAAUGAACAUGAUGUGUUUCCCCAAGUCUCAUUUUUAAGGCGGCUUUAUCAGGUUUAAUUAGACAGCUGCCAUCUCUUGUGGCUUGCAGUGUAUAUUUAAGGAGAGAAACAUGAGUCGUCCUCUGUGAAAUGAAAAACAACAUCAUCAAAACUGUCUCUCCACUGCUCUGCUGGCUCCUUACCCACAGCCUAGAAACAUGUUCCAGUUCCUUCCAGGGCUCAGUGGAGAGUUUCUUGGUAAAGAUGCACAGAUUGUGUUAGCUUUGAUAGCAGUGUGUUCAUAGAAAAAUGUCUAAAAUGGAGUGAAAGAUUCAGGCAGGAAAUAUUUGGGUUGAAAAGAGCAAACUAGUUUGUUGUGGAGUAUGAGAGAAGCUUGACCCAAGAAGACAAUGCUAAGUAUAUUUCCCAUUCUGUGUUCAAUUCUGACCUUGAACACUCACCCAGUGCAUUUAAGGCCCUUAAGGAAGGUAGGUGAGUGUGUGUGUACAGGUAGGGGAACAAAUGGUAGGAGAUGGAAGGAUGGAGUGAAAGAGGCUCUCAGUAGAUUGAAAAUUCCCAAACAGCAAGGCAGCAUGAAAGGUAUUGCUUCUCCUUCCUCCAUUCAUGUUUCAGGGGCUCAUGAUUCUUUUUUACAUCUUUUUCUUCUGUAUUCAUCCUUUGCUAACUGUUUCCAGAUUCCCCUGGAUAACAAUGUCAAGUGGUAGAUAGUCCAGUGGGAGAACUGCAUAUUCUCUUGCCCAUUUUACCACUGGUAUCUGAUGGGGAUGGCCCCACUCACACCUUUAUUUUGUU